GGGGAUGUGGCUCAGUGGUAGAGUUCUUGUCUUGCAAGCAUAAGUCCCUGGGUUCAAUCCCUGGUACCA
rnacentral:tRNA from 1 species